GCAUCCCUGCCGAACUGCUCUUCUUCUUCUUCUUCUCAAUGCGAACAGGUUCAGAGAUAUGCUGUUCUAGGUGCGGGCUUUGCCGGUCUCUCCGUGGCAUGGCAUCUUCUGAAGAUAUGGAUCCUACAUGGCAAUGGUGCGAAAGGGUGAAGGAGAAUAACCGUUUGAAACUCAAAUGUGGCUUCUGUGGGAAUACACUUUCAGGAGGGAUUAUUAGAAUGAAACACCAUUUGGCAGGGACCUCUAAAGAUGCGUCUCCUUGUGUUGGAGGACCAAACAAACCUUUGCCUCCAUUUGUGCGUCAACAAUGUUUAGAUAUGCUUCAUGCUUUACGUCAAAAGAGAAUACAAAAAGAAAUUGAAGAUGCACAUGUAGGCUAUAAUGUGCCUUUGGAAGAUGAAGAAGAAGAGGAAGAAGCUUAUGAAUGUGAUGAUGAAGACGAUAGCAGUCUAAGAACAGAUUUGGAGACCUCAAGAGGUAGAGAUCGUAGAGGAAAAGGGAUUAUGUAUGAAGGAAGUCGAUCUGGCAUAACGGGAAGGAAGAGGAGAGGCACAACAGAUGUUAGGGCCAGGCGUGGUAUGCGACCACCUAGUGGUAGAGUUCCUACUGGUAGGUCUAGUGUUGGCUCUAUUAAGAGUUUUUUCCCUUCAUAUACCAGCCCAGGUGGUCAGCCGCAGAUUCGUGCUGCUAUGACAUCUAAAGAUAUGUUAUAUCAUGCACAAAAACAGGUAGGGAAAUGGUUUUAUGAUGCAUGUAUUCCAUUUAAUGCAGCUAAUUCUUUUCAAUUCCAAGCCAUGACAGAUGCAAUUGCUUCUAUAGGCCCUGGAUUCAAAAUGCCAUCAUAUCAUCAGUUGAGGGGCAAAAUUCUUCAGGAUACAGUCAAAGAAGUGUCUGAGCAUUGCAAUGAGUUGAAAUUAUGUUGGAAGGAAACAGGUUGCUCCAUUAUGUCAGAUGGUUGGACUGAUACAAGGUCAAGAACACUUGUAAAUUUUCUUGUUUAUUGCCCUAAAGGUACAAUGUUCUUGAAAUCUCUUGACUUGUCUGAUGUUCCUAAGACUGCUGAGAUUUUAUUCAAUGUUUUUGAUAAUGUCGUACAAGAAGUUGGACCUGCAAACAUUGUACAGUUUAUUACAGAUAAUGCUGCAAAUUAUAGAGCUGCAGGAGAUUUGUUAUUUCAAAAGUAUAGAACAUUUUAUUGGAGUCCAUGUGUCACUCAUUGUGUUAAUCUAAUGUCAAGAGGUAACAAAAUUUAUCUAUAAUCAUGCAUAUGUAUUGAGUUUGAUGAGAAAAUUUACAAAAUGAGUUGAAUUAAUACGACCUGCACAAACUAGAUUUGCCACAAAUGUAUUGACUGUGCAGAGUGUGGUGAAACAAAGAACUCCUUUGAGACAGAUGUUUGCUAGUAAAGAAUGGGCUGCAUAUCCACAUGCUCAUAAAAGAAAUGCUUCUUUAGUUGUGGAUAUUAUAUUCAAUAACGUAUUUUGGGAAUCAUGUGUGAAGCUAUUGAAGGUUUGUGUUCCAUUAGUUAAGGUUCUCAGGUUGGCUGACAGCGAGGACAGACCUUCCAUAGGGUACUUAUAUGAGGCUAUGGACAAAGCAAAAGAGGCAAUUCAAGACAACUUAAAGGAAAAGAAAAAGUUAUAUAUGCCCAUAUGGAAGAUUAUAGAUAAAAGGUGGACUGAACAGCUUCAUCAACCUCUUCAUGCAGCAACUUAUUAUCUAAAUCCUGCAAUUAGAUUUUCUCCUACAUUUAAGAAGGACAAAGAAGUCAUGCAUGGUUUGUUAGAUUGUAUUAAUGUGUUAGUGGAAGAUUCUACAGAACAAGAUGUUGUGCAUAAUGAGUUGGAUCUAUAUGAUAGUUGUUUUCGGAACAUGGUAAAUACAUAAAAAUUUUUAAUUUACUUUGCAUUUGUUACAUUUGAUUCUUUUAAAACUUUCACAUUGAUUUGUUAUAUUUUUGUUUAGAUUUGUGGUGGAAUAGGUAUGGGUUUGAUUGUCCAAACCUAGCACGUUUUACAGUCAAAGUCCUCAGUCAGACAUGCAGUGCUAGUGGAUGCGAAAGGAACUGGAGUGUGUUCCAACAUAUCCAUAGCAAAAAAAGGAAUAGGCUCGAACAUAAAAGGUUGAAUGACCUUGUCUUUGUUCGAUAUAAUAUGAGGUUGAAACAAAGAGAAUUAGAAAAAUCAUUAGCAAGGAAGCACACAUCUUAGUUCGAUCCUAUCAGCUUGGAAAAUUUUGACGAUCUAGAGCCAUGGAUUGAAGAAGAACCAGCUACAAUAUUUGAUGAUGAAGAUCUUGAAUGCUUCAACCUUGAAGCUGAAGCAACAGAAGGCUUUGUUGAUGAAGGAGAGUCUGCUACUGCUGGUGCUGGUGCUGAAUAUGUUGGUGAAGAUCUUCCAAUUCUUGACGAUGAAAAAGAAGAAGAAGAUGAAGAUGAAGAUGAUGAAGAUUAUGAAUGAUGAAUCAUGAAUGAGAGUCAAGUCAAGAGUGCUUUCAUUUUAUAUGUAUCAAAAACUUAAGAGUUAUGAAUCUAUGGUUGUUGAACACUUGAUUGAAUGUUUUAUCAUUUAUGACUUUAUCACUUUAUGGCUUAUGGCCUUAUGCUUUGUUGAAUGAUAUUGUAUUAUUGUUAUGAAUUUUGAUGUUUAUGAAUGAUGAACGCGUAAGUUUAUAGCAAUAAUAAGUCUAUCAUUAUCUCAAACAUGUUUUCUAUGAACAAUUUAUUAUUUUUAAUUUUUUCUGA